UGGGGAAUAUUGCACAAUGGGCGCAAGCAUGAUGCAGCCAUGCCGCGUGGAUGAAGAAGGCCUUCGGGUUGUAAAGUACUUUCAGCGGGGAGGAAGGCGAUAAGGUUAAUAACCUUGUCGAUUGACGUUACCCGCAGAAGAAGCACCGGCUAACUCCGUGCCAGCAGCCGCGGUAAUACGGAGGGUGCAAGCGUUAAUCGGAAUUACUGGGCGUAAAGCGCACGCAGGCGGUCUGUCAAGUCGGAUGUGAAAUCCCCGGGCUCAACCUGGGAACUGCAUUCGAAACUGGCAGGCUAGAGUCUUGUAGAGGGGGGUAGAAUUCCAGGUGUAGCGGUGAAAUGCGUAGAGAUCUGGAGGAAUACCGGUGGCGAAGGCGGCCCCCUGGACAAAGACUGACGCUCAGGUGCGAAAGCGUGGGGAGCAAACA
rnacentral:rRNA from 1 species